GGAGAACGUGUCCAGCGAGGCACUGGAGGCUGCUCGUGUGGCUGCCAACAAGUACAUGGUCAAGAAUGCCGGCAAGGAAGCCUUCCACCUGCGUGUGCGCGUGCACCCCUUCCACGUGCUGCGCAUUAACAAGAUGCUUUCGUGCGCUGGAGCCGAUAGGCUCCAGACCGGUAUGCGUGGCGCCUUCGGCAAGCCCACGGGCACUUGCGCGCGUGUGCAGAUCGGCCAGGUGCUCAUGAGCAUCCGCUGCCGUGACCAGCAUGGCGCUGUGGCCGAGGAGGCGCUGCGC
rnacentral:lncRNA from 1 species